rnacentral:rRNA from 1 species
UUAACUUGAAGGAACCUUACCUGGGCUAGAAUGCCUUUGACAACUCCAGAGAUGGAGCCUCCUGGGGAAACCUAGGCAGAGUGCAAGGUGCUGCAUGGCUGUUGUCAGCUCGUGUCGUGAGAUGUUGGGUUAAGUCCCGCAACGAGCGCAACCCUUAUCAAUAGUUGCCAGCGGUUCGGCCGGGCACUCUAUUGAGACUGCCGUUGACAAAACGGAGGAAGGUGGGGAUGACGUCAAGUCCUCAUGGCCUUUAUGUCCAGGGCUACACACGUGCUACAAUGGCAGGUACAAAGCGCUGCAAACUCGCAAGGGGGAGCCAAUCGCAAAAAGCCGGUCUCAGUUCGGAUUGGAGUCUGCAACUCGACUCCAUGAAGCCGGAAUCGCGUAC